UAGAAUGUCAAGCAGAUUCUGCUCUAAGUGCAGAGCUCUACACGGGGCUCUCCUAGGACCCUGAAAUCAUGAUGAACUGAAAUGGAGAAUCAGAUGCUUCACCAGCUGAGCCACCCAGGCACCCUUCUUCUCUUCCCUCCUCCCUUCCAUCCACUCCCUCCCCUCCCUUCCUUUUCUCUCUCCUUCCUCCCUUUCUUCCUUCCUUCCUUUCUCCCUUCCUCCCUCCCUAUUUCUUUCCUUCCUUUCCCCUUUAAACAUUUAUUGAAAACCAACUGUGUGCCGGGCACUGGCCUGGGUACUAGAGGCUGCUUGUGUCAAGACAAACACAGAUCCUGUCUUGGAGGAGCACACCAUCAGCGCCUGGCAGACAAGCAUCUCUGCAGUUGUGCCCUGGCCCAGGCCUAGCCAUGGGUGCCCCCAGCCCCUGGCGGCAGCGAACGUCAGGACCGGCUAAGACCAACUUUGGUACCAUGGCGCCCUCUGCUGUCCAGAUGUGGCAAGAGCAGUGUGGCUCCUGGAGAUCAAGCAGCCCUGCCCCUUGGAGACUUCAUACAUUUUUCAACCAUUGAGAAGACCUCCAUCCCGAGGUUGAGGUGGCCAACUAGAAGGCACCGAGGGUCUGGAGGCUGCAAGCACCGGCCCUUGGUGUCUGACUGACCUGGGUUUGCAUCCUGCCUCUAUGGCUGCAUGGCUGGUUGACCCUGGGCUUGUUGCUUGGUUUCUCUGUGUUUUGGUCGCCUCUUCAGGAGAGCAAAGGGGAUUGUUCAUGUUCCCAUGGGGCAUAGAGCUGAGCACAAAGUGCCCGCUCAUACCAGACAACUACUCAUUGUUGAAAUAUUAUGUUAAUAAAUGAGUUAAUAACUGUAAUGUUCUUAAAACAAACCAGGCAGAUAGUAAAUGCUAAUGGAGCAAUUUAUAUUCUUGGCAUCUACUAUUUGCCAGAUUUAUUCCCCUUGGAUCCCUAAGGGCUUAGUAGUGCCAAUAUUAAUAAUAAAUAAUUAGAUGGCAUAUAAUAUUAUUAUCAGUAUUUAUAGGCCCUUAAGGGUCCAAGGAAAUAAAAUUAGGAGGUUCCACAAGCCCAAGAUAUUAUUUUAUUGCACUAAAUCAUAUUUCUCUUUGACAAAUAAAAUGUGUAUUGGGGGGAGAUUAUCUCAUAAAUUUGGAGUAAAAAAUAUUGGCUCUUUCUUUCUUUCUUUCUUUCUAUCUUUCUCUCUUGGCUAUCCUUCCUUCCUUCCACUUAGUUCUUUCCAUAUGAAUUAAAUAAAGCCUUCAAAAGUGUCCUUAUUUCUUGCUGCAAAGAAAUUUAGGAGGCUAAAGGGGGCUUGUGAGUUCAAAACUCCCCCAAGCUGACCAACCAUCCUGGUUGCCUAAGACUAAGGAGUUUCCUGGGAUUUGGGAACUUUCCGUGCAAAAACUGGGACAGUCCCAGCAUACUGAGACAGUUGGUCCCCUUAACUUCUUUCCACCCUGCUUGGACCAGAAACUCAGUCCCAGGAGAAAGACUGAUUCAAAUCCAGGGAGGGGCUUAAGAUCUCACUUAUUUGGCCGAAAACCCAGUUCUUAGAGUAAUAAGAUGGUGACCUUCAGUAAAUCACUUAACCUCUCUGAGCUUUGGUCUAUAAAGAUGGGAUGUUGUGGAUAUCCAGACAAGGUGUACAAGUACUUGGCUUGGAGCCUGGUACAGACAGUUCUCCAAUAAACUCAUUUGGCUGUGGAUUCUA